UAGGGAAUCUUCCGCAAUGGGCGAAAGCCUGACGGAGCAACGCCGCGUGAGUGAUGAAGGUCUUCGGAUCGUAAAACUCUGUUAUUAGGGAAGAACAAAUGUGUAAGUAACUAUGCACGUCUUGACGGUACCUAAUCAGAAAGCCACGGCUAACUACGUGCCAGCAGCCGCGGUAAUACGUAGGUGGCAAGCGUUAUCCGGAAUUAUUGGGCGUAAAGCGCGCGUAGGCGGUAUUUUAAGUCUGAUGUGAAAGCCAACGGCUCAACCGUGGAGGGACAUUGGAAACUGGAAAACUUGAGUGCAGAAGAGGAAAGUGGAAUUCCAUGUGUAGCGGUGAAAUGCGCAGAGAUAUGGAGGAACACCAGUGGCGAAGGCGACUUUCUGGUCUGUAACUGACGCUGAUGGGCGAAAGCGUGGGGAGCAAACAGG
rnacentral:rRNA from 1 species